rnacentral:rRNA from 1 species
GAGUUUGAUCCUGGCUCAGGAUGAACGCUAGCGGCAGGCUUAACACAUGCAAGUCGAGGGGUAACAGAGAGUGCUUGCACUCUGCUGACGACCGGCGCACGGGUGAGUAACGCGUAUGCAACCUACCUUUUACAGGGGAAUAGCCCAGAGAAAUUUGGAUUAAUACCCCAUAUUAUCUUUUUUUCGCAUGAAUUAGGGAUGAAAGUUUCGACGGUAAAAGAUGGGCAUGCGUCCUAUUAGUUUGUUGGUAAGGUAACGGCUUACCAAGACUUCGAUAGGUAGGGGCCCUGAGAGGGGGACCCCCCACACUGGUACUGAGACACGGACCAGACUCCUACGGGAGGCAGCAGUGAGGAAUAUUGGACAAUGGAGGAAACUCUGAUCCAGCCAUGCCGCGUGCAGGAUGAAUGCCCUAUGGGUUGUAAACUGCUUUUAUACAGGAAGAAAUAUUUCCACGUGUGGAAACUUAACGGUACUGUAAGAAUAAGGAUCGGCUAACUCCGUGCCAGCAGCCGCUGUAAUACGGAGGAUCCAAGCGUUAUCCGGAAUUAUUGGGUUUAAAGGGUCCGUAGGUGGUUAUUUAAGUCAGAGGUGAAAUCCUGCCGCUUAACGGUAGAACUGCCUUUGAUACUGAUUAACUUGAGUUAUUGUGAAGUAGUUAGAAUAUGUAGUGUAGCGGUGAAAUGCAUAGAUAUUACAUAGAAUACCGAUUGCGAAGGCAGAUUACUAACAAUAUACUGACACUGAGGGACGAAAGCGUGGGUAGCGAACAGGAUUAGAUACCCUGGUAGUCCACGCCGUAAACGAUGGUCACUAGCUGUUUGAUUAACAUUGGUUGAUUAAGUGGCUAAGCGGAAGUGAUAAGUGACCCACCCUGGGGGUGUACGCUCGCAAGAGUGAAACUCAAAGGAAUUGACGGGGGNCCCGCACAAGCGGUGGAGCAUGUGGUUUAAUACGAUGAUACGCGAGGAACCUUACCAGGGCUUAAAUGUAGAUUGCAUAAGCUAGAGAUAGCUUUUUNUUCGGACUAUCUACAAGGUGCUGCAUGGUUGUCGUCAGCUCGUGCCGUGAGGUGUCAGGUUAAGUCCUAUAACGAGCGCAACCCCUGUCGUUAGUUGCCAACAGGUUAUGCUGGGAACUCUAACGAGACUGCCGGUGCAAACUGAGAGAAAGGUGGGGACGACGUCAAAUCAUCACGGCCCUUACGUCCUGGGCUACACACGUGCUACAAUGGUCGGUACAGAGAGCAGCCACCUUGCGAAAGGGAGCAAAUCUUUAAAACCGGUCUCAGUUCGGAUCGCAGUCUGCAACUCGACUGCGUGAAGCUGGAAUCGCUAGUAAUCGCAUAUCAGCCAUGAUGCGGUGAAUACGUUCCCGGGCCUUGCACUCACCGCCCGUC